rnacentral:rRNA from 1 species
UACGUAGGGUGCGAGCGUUAAUCGGAAUUACUGGGCGUAAAGCGUGCGCAGGCGGUUUUGUAAGCCAGAUGUGAAAUCCCCGGGCUUAACCUGGGAAUGGCAUUUGGGACUGCAAGGCUGGAGUGCGGCAGAGGAGACUGGAAUUCCUGGUGUAGCAGUGAAAUGCGCAGAUAUCAGGAGGAACACCAAUAGCGAAGGCAGCUCGCUGGGACGGUACUGACGCUAAGGCGCGAAAGCGUGGGGAGCGAACAGG